UACGAAGGGGGCUAGCGUUGUUCGGAAUUACUGGGCGUAAAGCGCGUGUAGGCGGGUCUUUAAGUCAGGGGUGAAAUGCCAAGGCUCAACCUUGGAACUGCCUUUGAUACUGGAGAUCUUGAGUCCGGGAGAGGUGAGUCGGAACUGCGAGUGUAGAGGUGAAAUUCGUAGAUAUUCGCAAGAACACCAGUGGCGAAGGCGGCUCACUGGCCCGGAACUGACGCUGAGACGCGAAAGCGUGGGGAGCAACAGG
rnacentral:rRNA from 1 species